AGCCCCGGAGCCUUUUAGGGCUCUUCUUCAAACUUGCAAUUUGACGUAAAUCACUUACUCCGGAACUUU
rnacentral:tRNA from 1 species